rnacentral:rRNA from 1 species
GAUGAACGCUGGCGGCGUGCUUAACACAUGCAAGUCGAACGGAAAGGCUCCUGCUUGCAGGGGUACUCGAGUGGCGAACGGGUGAGUAACACGUGGGUGAUCUGCCCUGCACUUCGGGAUAAGCCUGGGAAACUGGGUCUAAUACCGGAUAGGACGAUGGUUUGGAUGCCAUUGUGGAAAGUUUUUUCGGUGUGGGAUGAGCUCGCGGCCUAUCAGCUUGUUGGUGGGGUAAUGGCCUACCAAGGCGUCGACGGGUAGCCGGCCUGAGAGGGUGUACGGCCACAUUGGGACUGCGAUACGGCCCAGACUCCUACGGGAGGCAGCAGUGGGGAAUAUUGCACAAUGGGCGCAAGCCUGAUGCAGCGACGCCGCGUGGGGGAUGACGGCCUUCGGGUUGUAAACUCCUUUCGCUAGGGACGAAGCGCAAGUGACGGUACCUGGAGAAGAAGCACCGGCUAACUACGUG